UACGUAGGGGGCUAGCGUUGUCCGGAAUCAUUGGGCGUAAAGCGCGCGUAGGCGGCCAGAUAAGUCCGGUGUGAAAGUCACAGGCUCAACCUGUGAAUGCCGCUGGAAACUGUCUGGCUUGAGUCCGGAAGGGGCGAGUGGAAUUCCUGGUGUAGCGGUGAAAUGCGCAGAUAUCAGGAGGAACACCGGUGGUGUAGACGGCUUUCUGGACCGUAACUGACGCUGAGACACGAAAGCGUGGGUAGUAAACAGG
rnacentral:rRNA from 1 species